CUCGAAGUCGUCUAGUUGGCUAUGGCGUUGGACUGUAAUGGAAAUAUUAGCAAUCCAAAUGUCGGCGGUUCGAUUCCGUCCUUCGAGA